GGGGUCCUGAUCAAGAUGCCAGUCAGCUGGGGUCUCAGGAGGCUCUUUCUGGGCUGCAUAUGACUGCUUUCCUGCUGUGUCCUCUCAGGCACUGGAACCAAACUAUCUGGCUUUGAUUCUCAGCUCCACUACUUCCUUGCUGUGUGACCUUGGGCAAGUUCAUUAACUCCUCUGGAUGACGCUUACUUGAGUUAGACAACAAGAACACCACCUGCACCUACUCCAAGUGAGUCAUUACCCAUGAGCGCUCAGGGUGGCUUCCAGCCCACAGUGCCUGGCAUUUAGAACCAAGCCUGACUCCUGGCUGCUGUUUACCAGUCCCUGGCUGAAUGGCCACCGCUCUGCUAAGCUCUGUCACACAGUGCAUUUCAGGACAGCACCCGAUGAGCCGGAGAGGAAGAGUCUAUGACUGCGUCCAGUAUGACAAAGGCACUGAAGUGGAGAGAGGCUGAUGGCAUCAGGCCACACAGGAGGCAGUGGGCGGAGUGGCCGGGAGCCUGGGCCCCAGAAAACUGCUGAACGCACAAUCCAGUUGCAGAAAACGGGUGGGGAAUUGAAGAUGGAACCGAUCUCAGAAAACACCCGGACUUCCCUUACUGAUGGCUUCUCUCGUGGUGUGACUAUACCAACAAAGACACAAGGGUUCCGCAGGGUUUGUUCCAGGACUAACAGGGUUUCUCUAGUGUACACCAAGACGUGUAGAUGUCCUUCUCCAUGAACACGGACACGGCUAUUCACAUGAAUUUGGCAAAGAAACGUCACUGCUGAAAACUGACACGAUUCCGCUUGUUUCUGAGCCCCAAAUCCUGUUUGUCAGUAGGCUACUUUCUCCUGCACUGUUGAAGGAGGAGGGUGGGAAGUCUAUGUUGGGAAAUGGAAAUACUA